CCUACGGGAGGCAGCAGUGAGGAAUAUUGGUCAAUGGACGAGAGUCUGAACCAGCCAAGUAGCGUGAAGGAUGACUGCCCUAUGGGUUGUACACUUCUUUUAUAAAGGCAUAAAACGAGGCACGUGUGCCUUUUUGCAUGUACUUUAUGAAUAAGGAUCGGCUAACUACGUGCCAGCAGCCGCGGUAAUACGUAGGGGGCGAGCGUUAUACGGAUUCACUGGGUGUAAAGGGAGCGUAGACGGCCAUGCCAGCCAGGGGUGAAAGCCCGGGGCCCAACCCCGGGACUGCCCUUGGAAGUGCAUGGCUGGAGUGCGGGAGGGGCAGGCGGAAUUCCUGGUGUAGCGGUGAAAUGCGUAGAUAUCAGGAGGAACACCGGCGGCGAAGGCGGCCUGCUGGACCGCGACUGACGUUGAGGCUCGAAAGCGUGGGGAGCGAACAGGAUUAGAUACCCCGGUAGUC
rnacentral:rRNA from 1 species